rnacentral:rRNA from 1 species
UACAGAGGUCUCAAGCGUUGUUCGGAUUCAUUGGGCGUAAAGGGUGUCGUAGGUGGCGCUGUAAGUCGGGUGUGAAAUUUCGGAGCUUAACUCCGAAACUGCAUUCGAUACUGCGGUGCUUGAGGACUGGAGAGGAGACUGGAAUUCAUGGUGUAGCAGUGAAAUGCGUAGAGAUCAUGAGGAAGACCAGUGGCGAAGGCGGGUCUCUGGACAGUUCCUGACGCUGAGGCACGAAGGCCAGGGGAGCAAACGGG